ACCAUGACUGUAUAGUGGUUAGUACUCUGUGCUGUGGCCACAGUGACCUCGGUUCAAAUCCAAGUCACAGCA
rnacentral:tRNA from 1 species